rnacentral:rRNA from 1 species
UAACUGAACCUUCGGGGAACGUUAAGGGCGGCGAGCGGCGGACGGGUGAGUAAUGCCUGGGAAUAUGCCCUGAUGUGGGGGAUAACUAUUGGAAACGAUAGCUAAUACCGCAUAAUCUCUUCGGAGCAAAGAGGGGGACCUUCGGGCCUCUCGCGUCAGGAUUAGCCCAGGUGGGAUUAGCUUGUUGGUGAGGUAAUGGCUCACCAAGGCAACGAUCCCUAGCUGGUCUGAGAGGAUGAUCAGCCACACUGGAACUGAGACACGGUCCAGACUCCUACGGGAGGCAGCAGUGGGGAAUAUUGCACAAUGGGGGAAACCCUGAUGCAGCCAUGCCGCGUGUAUGAAGAAGGCCUUCGGGUUGUAAAGUACUUUCAGUAGGGAGGAAGGCAGUGUCGUUAAUAGCGGCAUUGUUUGACGUUACCUACAGAAGAAGCACCGGCUAACUCCGUGCCAGCAGCCGCGGUAAUACGGAGGGUGCGAGCGUUAAUCGGAAUUACUGGGCGUAAAGCGCAUGCAGGCGGUCUGUUAAGCAAGAUGUGAAAGCCCGGGGCUCAACCUCGGAACAGCAUUUUGAACUGGCAGACUAGAGUCUUGUAGAGGGGGGUAGAAUUUCAGGUGUAGCGGUGAAAUGCGUAGA